GUGCCAGCAGCUGCGGUAAUACAUAGGUCGCGAGCGUUAUUCGGAUUUAUUGGGCGUAAAGCAAGCGCAGGCGGAUGGAUAAGUUCUGUGUGAAAAGCAGCUGCUCAACAGCUGUUGGCGCCGAAUACUAUCCAUCUAGAAUACGGUAGAAAGUUUUGGAAUUGAAUAUGGAGCGGUGGAAUGUGUAGAUAUAUUCAAGAACACCAGAGGCGAAGGCGAAAACUUAGGCCGCUAUUGACGCUUAGGCUUGAAAGUGUGGGGAGCAAAUGGGAUUAGAUACCCCAGUAGUCCACACUGUAAACGAUGGGUAUUAAGUCUUGGGACUAGAGUCUCAGGGCUGGAGCUUACGUGUUAAAUACCCCGCCUGGGUAGUACAUAUGCAAAUAUGAAACUCAAAGGAAUUGACGGGGACCUGAACAAGUGGUGGAACAUGUUGCUUAAUUCGAUACUACACGAAAAACCUUACCAAGAUUUGACAUCCCUCGCGAAGCUUUAGAGAUAAAGUGAAGGUUAUCGAGGUGACAGGUGGUGCAUGGUUGUCGUCAGCUCGUGUCAUGAGAUGUUGGGUUAAGUCCCGCAACGAGCGCAACCCUACUCUCUAGUUGAUUGUUUAGAGAGACUGAACAGUAAUGUAUAGGAAGGUCGGGAUCACGUCAAAUCAUCAUGCCCCUUAUGUCUUGGGCUGCAAACGUGUUACAAUGGCGAGUACAGCGUGCAGCAAACCAGCGAUGGCUAGCAAAUCACUAAAAACUCGUCUCAGUCCGGAUAAAAGGCUGCAAUUCGCCUUUUUGAAGUUGGAAUCACUAGUAAUCCCGUGUCAGCUAUAUCGGGGUGAAUACGUUCCCAGGUC
rnacentral:rRNA from 1 species